CCUACGGGAGGCAGCAGUGAGGAAUAUUGGUCAAUGGGCGUAAGCCUGAACCAGCCAAGUCGCGUGAGGGAUGAAGGUUCUAUGGAUCGUAAACCUCUUUUAUAAGGGAAUAAAGUGCGGGACGUGUCCCGUUUUGUAUGUACCUUAUGAAUAAGGAUCGGCUAACUCCGUGCCAGCAGCCGCGGUAAUACGGAGGAGCCGAGCGUUAUCCGGAUUUAUUGGGUUUAAAGGGUGCGUAGGCGGCCUUUUAAGUCAGCGGUGAAAGUCUGUGGCUCAACCAUAGAAUUGCCGUUGAAACUGGGAGGCUUGAGUAUGUUUGAGGCAGGCGGAAUGCGUGGUGUAGCGGUGAAAUGCUUAGAUAUCACGCAGAACCCCGAUUGCGAAGGCAGCUUGCCAAGCCAUGACUGACGCUGAUGCACGAAAGCGUGGGGAUCAAACAGGAUUAGAUACCCGAGUAGUC
rnacentral:rRNA from 1 species